rnacentral:rRNA from 1 species
ACGUAGGGGGCAAGCGUUAUCCGGAAUUACUGGGCGUAAAGGGUGCGUAGGUGGUAUGACAAGUCAGGGGUUAAAAGCUAGGGCUCAACCGUAGUCAGCCCUUGAAACUGUCUAACUUGAGUGCAGGAGAGGUAAGUGGAAUUCCUAGUGUAGCGGUGAAAUGCGUAGAUAUUAGGAGGAACACCAGUGGCGAAGGCGACUUACUGGACUGUAACUGACACUGAGGCACGAAAGCGUGGGGAGCAAACAGG